rnacentral:rRNA from 1 species
UCCUGGCCGUAAACGAUGGGUACUAAGUGUAGGAGGUAUUGACCCCUUUUGUGCUGUAGCUAACGCGUUAAGUACCCCACCUGGGGAGUACGGCCGCAAGGCUAAAACUCAAGGUAAUUGACGGGGACCCGCACAAGCGGUGGCGCAUGUCGCUCAAUUCGAUGCAACGCGAAGAACCUUAUCCAGGGUUUGACAUCCUUUGACCGCCAUGGAAACAUGGUUUUCCCGUAAGG